UGGGGAAUCUUCCGCAAUGGGGCGCAAGCCUGACGGAGCAACGCCGCGUGAGUGAAGAAGGGUUUCGACUCGUAAAGCUCUGUUGUCGGGGACGAAUGUGGAGAUGGUGAAUAACCAUUUCUAAUGACGGUACCUGACGAGGAAGCCACGGCUAACUACGUGCCAGCAGCCGCGGUAAUACGUAGGUGGCGAGCGUUGUCCGGAAUUAUUGGGCGUAAAGGGAGCGCAGGCGGGAAGGUAAGUCUAUCUUAAAAGUGCGGGGCUCAACCCCGUGAGGGGAUGGAAACUAUCUUUCUUGAGUGCAGGAGAGGAAAGCGGAAUUCCUAGUGUAGCGGUGAAAUGCGUAGAUAUUAGGAGGA
rnacentral:rRNA from 1 species